AAAUAAGAAACAAAAAUUUGUAUUUAGUUUCGACCUAAAAUUUUGGUUUAUAACCCUUAUUUA
rnacentral:tRNA from 1 species